rnacentral:rRNA from 1 species
UACGUAGGGUGCAGGCGUUAAUCGGAAUUACUGGGCGUAAAGCGUGCGCAGGCGGUCUGCUAAGAGAGAUGUGAAAUCCCCGGGCUUAACCUGGGAACUGCGUUUCUAACUGGCAGGCUUGAGUGUGGCAGAGGGGGGUGGAAUUCCACGUGUAGCAGUGAAAUGCGUAGAGAUGUGGAGGAACACCGAUGGCGAAGGCGGCAUCCUGGACCGACACUGACGCUGAGGAGCGAAAGCCAGGGGAGCAAACGGG